rnacentral:rRNA from 1 species
AAAACUCUGUUGUGAGGGAAGAACAAGUACGGGAGUAACUGCCCGUACCUUGACGGUACCUCAUUAGAAAGCGGCUAACUACGUGCCAGCAGCCGCGGUAAUACGUAGGUGGCAAGCGUUGUCCGGAAUUAUUGGGCGUAAAGCGCGCGCAGGCGGCCUAUUAAGUCUGAUGUGAAAGCCCACGGCUCAACCGUGGAAGGUCAUUGGAAACUGAAAGGCUUGAGUACAGAAGAGGAAAGCGGAAUUCCACGUGUAGCGGUGAAAUGCGUAGAGAUGUGGAGGAACACCAGUGGCGAAGGCCGCUUUCUGGUCUGUAACUGACGCUGAGGCGCGAAAGCGUGGGGAGCAAACGGGAUUAGAUACCCUGGUAGUCAACGCCGUAAACGAUGAUU